UACGUAGGGGGCGAGCGUUGUCCGGAAUGACUGGGCGUAAAGGGCGCGUAGGCGGCCGAUUAAGUCUGGAGUGAAAUCCCCGCUUUUAAGGUGGGAAUUGCUUUGGAGACUGGUUGGCUUGAGUGCAGAAGAGGUAAGUGGAAUUCCCAGUGUAGCGGUGAAAUGCGUAGAGAUUGGGAGGAACACCAGUGGCGAAGGCGACUUACUGGGCUGUAACUGACGCUGAGGCGCGAAAGCGUGGGGAGCGAACAGG
rnacentral:rRNA from 1 species